AGGACGAUACUCAGUGUGAUAAACACUCCAGUCCUGCCCACACCAGCACUACAGGAAUGGGAGAUGAAAACACCAAAAAACGGUGUCCUGAAAGGUCCAACCACUGCAAAGACUGCACAGAUGGAGUCUUCAGCAAAGGAACAUCCAAGGUGAAUCCAGAUCACGCUGUCACAAGCCAUAAGCAAGAAGGAAUUUCCCUCUAGAAUUGUACUGUGUGCAGUACAGGUAGUGAUGGGACAGAACAGACCACGGGUGUUAUCACCUAGUCCAUCCCUUAGCGCUGCAGCCUCAGAAAGCAGCCUGCUAAGUUAAGUUAACCC